rnacentral:lncRNA from 1 species
AAACAUUUAUAGUUUUAAUAAUUAAAGCACUUGAAAUAUAUAGUUCAAUAAAACAUAAAUUUGAAAAGAAAGUGCAAAUGUAAUUUUGUUUGAAAACAUAAACAUAAGUCUAAGCAUCAUCAUCAUCAUCAUCAUCGGCAUCAGGGUGUGGAGGUGGCGGAGCCUUAUACAUCAUCAUAAACGCCUCCAAUUGAGCCACGCGGUCCUGCAUCUGUUGGCGUUCUGCUUGCUCUGCCGCCAUGCGCUCCUCUAUCUGUUGGCGUUGUGCUUGCUCUGCCGCCAAUCGCUCCUCCAGCGUGGAGAUCCGUGUCUCAUAAAGCUGCUGAGACACCGCAGAAGUGCCCGUGCUGCGGAUAGACCCCCUACUAGCCUGACUCUGCCCGGCACUCCCGACGCCGUAGAUCCGUG